GACGAACGCUGGCGGCGUGCUUAACACAUGCAAGUCGAACGGAAAGGCCUGCUUUCCCUUGUGGAUUGCGGGUACUCGAGUGGCGAACGGGUGAGUAACACGUGAGUGAUCUGCCCCCAACUUGGGUAUAAGCCUGGGAAACUGGGUCUAAUUCCCGAUAGGACUGCAGGGUGGUGCCUGUGGUGGAAAACGAUUUUCUAGUGGUUGGGGAUGAGCUCGCGGCCUAUCAGUUUGUUGGUGGGGUAAUGGCCUACCAAGGCGGCGACGGGUAGCCGGCCUGAGAGGGUGGACGGCCACAUUGGGACUGAGAUACGGCCCAGACUCCUACGGGAGGCAGCAGUGGGGAAUAUUGCACAAUGGGCGGAAGCCUGAUGCAGCGACGCCGCGUGGGGGAUGACGGCCUUCGGGUUGUAAACUCCUUUCGACCGCGAGGAAGCCACCUGGUUGGAAGGGUGGUGACGGUAGUGGUAGAAGAAGCACCGGCUAACUACGUG
rnacentral:rRNA from 1 species